rnacentral:rRNA from 1 species
GACGGAGGGCGCAAGCGUUGUUCGGAAUUAUUGGGCGUAAAGCGCGCGUAGGCGGUUACUCAAGUCGGAUGUGAAAGCCCUCGGCUUAACUGAGGAAGUGCACCCGAAACUGAGUAGCUAGAGUACUAAAGAGGGUCGCGGAAUUCCCGGUGUAGAGGUGAAAUUCGUAGAUAUCGGGAGGAACACCGGUGGCGAAGGCGGCGACCUGGGGUAGAUACUGACGCUGAGGUGCGAAAGCGUGGGGGAGCAAACAGG